rnacentral:rRNA from 1 species
CGCUAGCGGCAGGCCUAACACAUGCAAGUCGAACGGUAACAUGAGAGCUUGCUCUUGAUGACGAGUGGCGCACGGGUGCGUAACGCGUAUGCAACCUACCCUAUACAGGGGGAUAGCCCGGAGAAAUUCGGAUUAAUACCCCAUAAUAUUUUUGUAACACAUGUUAUAAUAAUUAAAGCUUCGGCGGUAUAGGAUGGGCAUGCGUCCCAUUAGUUAGUUGGUGAGGUAACGGCUCACCAAGACUUCGAUGGGUAGGGGUUCUGAGAGGAUUAUCCCCCACACUGGUACUGAGACACGGACCAGACUCCUACGGGAGGCAGCAGUGAGGAAUAUUGGGCAAUGGACGAGAGUCUGACCCAGCCAUGCCGCGUGCAGGAUGACGGCCCUAUGGGUUGUAAACUGCUUUUAUACAGGAAUAAACCUAUCUACGUGUAGAUAGCUGAAUGUACUGUACGAAUAAGGAUCGGCUAACUCCGUGCCAGCAGCCGCGGUAAUACGGAGGAUCCAAGCGUUAUCCGGAUUCAUUGGGUUUAAAGGGUCCGUAGGCGGAUUUUUAAGUCAGUGGUGAAAGCCCACAGCUCAACUGUGGAACUGCCAUUGAUACUGGAAGUCUUGAGUUUGGUUGAAGUUGGCGGAAUACGUCAUGUAGCGGUGAAAUGCAUAGAUAUGACGUAGAACACCGAUUGCGAAGGCAGCUGACUAAGUCAAUACUGACGCUGAGGGACGAAAGCGUGGGGAGCGAACAGGAUUAGAUACCCUGGUAGUCCACGCCGUAAACGAUGAUUACUAGCUGUUGGCGAUACACAGUCAGCGGCGUAGCGAAAGCGUUAAGUA